rnacentral:lncRNA from 1 species
GUUUUUAUGCCCUUUAUUAACGGAAGAGCACAAUUUCUCUGUCUACUCUUGAUUUCAGGUUGCGAAGAAACGCAAUCGCAGGAUGUGCCGGCAGUGUGUUGCGUGUCUUCGUGAAGACGACUGUGGCAAAUGCGACUUCUGCAUGGACAAGCCCAAGUUUGGUGGCAGUAACAAGAAAAAGCAGAAAUGCCGCUUACGUCAGUGCAAGUUUCAGUCAAGGCUUCAUGGUCAAAGAGCAAAUAGAAGGAGAAAUGUGAAGCCCAAGCUCAAGAGACGCGGGAGACCGCCGAGAAAACGGAAAUUCAGAAGCAACCCCUGGGAGGAUGAUGAGGAAGUUUCUGAUGAUGAUGAUGAUGAUGACAAAGAAGAUUUGAGGCAUUAUAAGAUGAAUGGCGGGAAAGGAGGAAGGAGGAAAUGGAAUUACAGUUUUAAGGAAGAUGAGGAAGACAUGUUCAUUGAGGCUGUGAUUGAGGAUGACGGACCGUCCAACACAGAGGAGGAUCCUGAUAUUUUGGGCAGUGAGAGGUCAGCGAUGGUGUCUAAUGAGAUGUACUCAAACACGUCUGGACUCAGUACUCAGGGAUUAUACUACAACAUGUCAGGCGUGCCGGCGGCUCCUUAUGUGCUUGGAUCAGUGCCUCUGUGUAACAGCAAUCCAGUGCCGAUGGGUGAGGUUAUCAGCUCUCUGCCGAUGGGGGAUGAUGUGCCUCAGAACGGUUUUCUUCAGUUUGAGAUGGUGAGAGUGGGAUCACCACCGUCACAUUACACAGAAGAAGCUCAGAACACAGAACAGCACGUGUCAGAACCUCAGCAGGAGCCCACGCCGGUGGUGAGUCUGUCUUCACUGCUACCCAAUACAGCACUAUUCAAAAGUUUGAAU